rnacentral:rRNA from 2 species
GUAACUAUAACGGUCCUAAGGUAGCGAAAUUCCUUGUCGGGUAAGUUCCGACCUGCACGAAUGGCGUAAUGAUGGCCAGGCUGUCUCCACCCGAGACUCAGUGAAAUUGAACUCGCUGUGAAGAUGCAGUGUACCCGCGGCAAGACGGAAAGACCCCGUGAACCUUUACUAUAGCUUGACACUGAACAUUGAGCCUUGAUGUGUAGGAUAGGUGGGAGGCUUUGAAGUGUGGACGCCAGUCUGCAUGGAGCCGACCUUGAAAUACCACCCUUUAAUGUUUGAUGUUCUAACGUGGACCCGUUACCCGGGUUGCGGACAGUGUCUGGUGGGUAGUUUGACUGGGGCGGUCUCCUCCUAAAGAGUAACGGAGGAGCACGAAGGUUGGCUAAUCCUGGUCGGACAUCAGGAGGUUAGUGCAAUGGCAUAAGCCAGCUUGACUGCGAGCGUGACGGCGCGAGCAGGUGCGAAAGCAGGUCAUAGUGAUCCGGUGGUUCUGAAUGGAAGGGCCAUCGCUCAACGGAUAAAAGGUACUCCGGGGAUAACAGGCUGAUACCGCCCAAGAGUUCAUAUCGACGGCGGUGUUUGGCACCUCGAUGUCGGCUCAUCACAUCCUGGGGCUGAAGUAGGUCCCAAGGGUAUGGCUGUUCGCCAUUUAAAGUGGUACGCGAGCUGGGUUUAGAACGUCGUGAGACAGUUCGGUCCCUAUCUGCCGUGGGCGCUGGAGAACUGAGGGGGGCUGCUCCUAGUACGAGAGGACCGGAGUGGACGCAUCACUGGUGUUCGGGUUGUCAUGCCAAUGGCACUGCCCGGUAGCUAAAUGCGGAAGAGAUAAGUGCUGAAAGCAUCUAAGCACGAAACUUGCCCCGA